AGGCAAUGUGCAGGCGAGGGUGGGCAGCUGGGACAGAGCAGCCCAGGGCUGGCCCCUCACAGGGGAGCGGGGAGUGCUGGGGCUGGGGGUACCCUGGGCACGGGACACGGCCGGGAUGGCUGAAAAGAACAGGGAUCAAGGUGGGGAGUGAGCUGAGGGGCUGCCCCAUUCUGCACUGACACUUCUGGGACAGGGAUGUCCUCUACCCGUCCCCAUUCACUUCCACUUGUGUUUUGGUGGCACGGUGCAGAGAGCUGCACAAGUGUCUGUCCUUAAUGCUCCACAUGCUCAAGCCUUGCUCAAAUCUGGGUCUUGCUCCCUGUUAGUCUGGUCCCUCCCAGUCUGAGAGCAAGACUGUCUGUGCCCAUUCACCAGGUCAAAGAACUUUGGGGUCUAGCCAUGGAAUUAGUCAUGGAAUUUGAAGCACUCCUCUCUGAUCAUGCAUUGCUUUUGCUUUUCUUUUCCAGCGAGAAAAGAUGCAACUAUGGGUAAGACUACCUUAAAUAACCCAAAGAGUUGGCACCUUUCCAUGGCAGCAGCCAUGGGCUGAGGAGCUCCCCUCUCAUUGUGCCUUGCUUUUCUCUUCCUUUUCCAGCGGACCAAGCUGCAGAGCUGAAGGAACAAGCUGCAGAGCUGGGUCAAAGUACUUUGGGGUCUAGCCAUGGAAUAAGUCAUGGAAUUUGAAGCACUCCUCUCUGAUCAUGCAUUGCUUUUGCUUUCCUAUUCCAGUGAGAAAAGAUGCAACUAUGGCGGACCAAGCUGCAGAGCUGGCAUGGAGAAGGUGUCUGCUGCCUCAUAACAGAGGUAGGUGUGCAUUGGGUUGCCCACUGAGAUGCUUCUCCUGCCCCUGCUGGGGCAUGUUCAGCAGCCAAGAGGUGCCCCAUCUCCUGCCCCGUGGGGCAGCUCCUGGCCCCGAGCUGGGGAAAGCCUGCCCAGGGCUGAGCUCUGCCCCUGAUGGCCUGGCUCCUUCUGUCCCUGCAGUGAAGGUGACCCUGGAUCCGGACACGGCUCAUCCCAUGCUUGUCCUGUCUCAGGACAACAGCAGUGUGAGAUGGGAAGACAUACCACAUCAGGUUCCUGACACACCAGAGAGAUUUCAGGAGAGUUUAUGCGUGCUGGGCCAUGAGGAGUUCAGAGAGGGCAGACACUGUUGGUUGGUGGAGGUGGAGGGGGAGUCGCUAAAGUAUUCU
rnacentral:lncRNA from 1 species